rnacentral:rRNA from 1 species
CCUACGGGAGGCAGCAGUGAGGAAUAUUGGUCAAUGGCCGCAGGGCUGAACCAGCCAAGUCGCGUGAGGGAUGACGGUCCUAUGGAUUGUAAACCUCUUUUGUCAGGGAGCAAAGGGCGCCACGUGUGGCGCUUUGCGAGUACUUGAUGAAAAAGCAUCGGCUAACUCCGUGCCAGCAGCCGCGGUAAUACGGAGGAUGCGAGCGUUAUCCGGAUUUAUUGGGUUUAAAGGGUGCGCAGGCGGAAUGUCAAGUCAGCGGUAAAAUUUCGGGGCUCAACCCCGUCGUGCCGUUGAAACUGGCGUUCUUGAGUGAGCGAGAAGUAUGCGGAAUGCGUGGUGUAGCGGUGAAAUGCAUAGAUAUCACGCAGAACUCCGAUUGCGAAGGCAGCAUACCGGCGCUCAACUGACGCUCAUGCACGAAAGCGUGGGUAUCGAACAGGAUUAGAUACCCUGGUAGUC